CAAGUCGAACGGAACUCUUCGGAGUUCAGUGGCGGACGGGUGAGUAACGCGUGAGAAUCUGCCUAGAGGAUGGGGACAACCACGGGAAACUGUGGCUAAUACCCAAUGAGCGGAGACGUUAAAGAUUUAUCGCCUCUAGAGGAGCUCGCGUCUGAUUAGCUAGUUGGUGGGGUAAAAGCCUACCAAGGCGACGAUCAGUAGCUGGUCUGAGAGGACAACCAGCCACACUGGGACUGAGACACGGCCCAGACUCCUACGGGAGGCAGCAGUGGGGAAUUUUCCGCAAUGGGCGAAAGCCUGACGGAGCAAUACCGCGUGAGGGAGGAAGGCUCUUGGGUCGUAAACCUCUUUUCUCAGGGAAGAAGAAAGUGACGGUACCUGAGGAAUCAGCCUCGGCUAACUCCGUGCCAGCAGCCGCGGUAAUACGGAGGAGGCAAGCGUUAUCCGGAAUUAUUGGGCGUAAAGCGUCCGUAGGUGGCUCUUCAAGUCUGCUGUCAAAGAGUGGGGCUUAACCCUGCAAAGGCAGUGGAAACUGAAAGGCUAGAGAGCCGUAGGGGUAGAGGGAAUUCCCGGUGUAGCGGUGAAAUGCGUAGAGAUCGGGAAGAACAUCGGUGGCGAAAGCGCUCUACUGGACGGUAUCUGACACUGAGGGACGAAAGCUAGGGGAGCGAAUGGGAUUAGAUACCCCAGUAGUCCUAGCCGUAAACGAUGGAUACUAGGCGUGGCUUGUAUCGACCCGAGCCGUGCCGGAGCUAACGCGUUAAGUAUCCCGCCUGGGGAGUACGCACGCAAGUGUGAAACUCAAAGGAAUUGACGGGGGCCCGCACAAGCGGUGGAGUAUGUGGUUUAAUUCGAUGCAACGCGAAGAACCUUACCAGGGCUUGACAUGUCGCGAAUCUCCGGGAAACGGGAGAGUGCCUUCGGGA
rnacentral:rRNA from 1 species